AUUGAACGCUGGCGGCAUGCUUUACACAUGCAAGUCGAACGGCAGCGCGGGCUUCGGCCUGGCGGCGAGUGGCGAACGGGUGAGUAAUACAUCGGAACGUGCCCAGUAGUGGGGGAUAGCUCGGCGAAAGCCGGAUUAAUACCGCAUACGACCUGAGGGUGAAAGCGGGGGAUCUUCGGACCUCGCGCUAUUGGAGCGGCCGAUGGCAGAUUAGCUAGUUGGUGGGGUAAAGGCCUACCAAGGCGACGAUCUGUAGCUGGUCUGAGAGGACGACCAGCCACACUGGGACUGAGACACGGCCCAGACUCCUACGGGAGGCAGCAGUGGGGAAUGUUGGACAAUGGGCGAAAGCAUGAUCCAGCAAUGCCGCGUGUGUGAUGAAGGCCUUCGGGUUGUAAAGCACUUUUGGCGGGAACGAAAAGGACUGUGCCAAUACCACGGUUCGAUGACGGUACCCGCAGAAUAAGCACCGGCUAACUACGUG
rnacentral:rRNA from 1 species